AGCAGCCGCGGUAAUUCCAGCUCCAAUAGCGUAUAUUAAAGUUGUUGCAGUUAAAAAGCUCGUAGUUGAAUUUCGGGAUUGACGUGAUGGUCAUGCCUUAAGGGGUAUGAACUGUUACAGUUGAUUUCUCACCUUCUGGAGAAACUUGAUGUCCUUUAUUGGGUGUCUUGCGGAUCCAGGACCUUUACCUUGAAAAAAUUAGAGUGUUUAAAGCAGGCAUUUUUGCUCGAAUACAUUAGCAUGGAAUAAUAGAAUAGGACGGCAUGGUUCUAUUUUGUUGGUUUCUAGGAUCACCGUAAUGAUUAAUAGGGAUAGUUGGGGGCAUUAGUAUUCAAUUGUCAGAGGUGAAAUUCUUGGAUUUAUUGAAGACUAACUACUGCGAAAGCAUUUGCCAAGGAUGUUUUCAUUAAUCAAGAACGAAAGUUAGGGGAUCGAAGACGAUCAGAUACCGUCGUAGUCUUAACCAUAAACUAUGCCGACUAGGAAUCAGACGAUGUUAAUUUUUUAAUGACUCGUUUGGCACCUUAC
rnacentral:rRNA from 1 species